rnacentral:tRNA from 1 species
UGGGCUGGGGCUCAGUGGUAGAGCGCUUGCCUAGAAUGUGUGAGGCGCUGGGUUCAAACCUCAGCACCACAU